UGAUGCUGACAAAAAGGGGGAGAAGUGGAUGACUUUAUUUUGUGGAUAUUAUUUUGAUGAUCAUUGUGUAGCUCCAUGGAUUGAUGAAUGAAUUUAUUUUGUGGAUCGACUUUUGGAAAGAAAAUUCUUAUAUUGUGGAUAUUAUUGUGGAUAAUAUAUUAUGUACAUAAUUGUUGAUGUCCUUGCUUGAAACCAUUUGUGGCUAAUAUGUUUGUGAAUAUUUUAUUGAAAUUAUUAAGGGGGA
rnacentral:misc_RNA from 1 species